AGAGUUUGAUCCUGGCUCAGGACGAACGCUGGCGGUGCGCCUAAUGCAUGCAAGUCGAACGAGCGACCCGGGCUUGCCCGGUUAGCUAGUGGCAGACGGCUGAGUAACACGUAAAUAAUCUGCCCCGAAGAGGGGGAUAAUCCAGAGAAAUCUGGCCUAAUACCCCGUACCUAUCUUUUCAGCCUGCUGAAUUGAUAGAAAGGUUUAUUCCGCUUUGGGAGGAGUUUGCGGCUUAUCAGGUAGUUGGUGGGGUAAUGGCCUACCAAGCCUAAGACGAGUAACCGGUGUGAGAGCACGAUCGGUCAGAGGGGGACUGAGACACGGCCCCCACUCCUACGGGAGGCAGCAGCAGGGAAUCUUGCGCAAUGGGCGAAAGCCUGACGCAGCGACACCGCGUGGAGGAUGAAUGUCUUAGGAUUGUAAACUCCUUUUAUCAAGGAAGAGAACGGACGGUACUUGAUGAAUAAGGUUCGGCUAACUACGUGCCAGCAGCCGCGGUAAUACGUAGGAACCGAGCGUUGUCCGAAUUUACUGGGCGUAAAGAGCGCGUAGGCGGUUUAUUAAGUCUCAUGUGUAAUCUCCCGGCUCAACUGGGAGGGGUCAUGGGAUACUGGUAGACUUGAAGAUAGCAGAGGAAAGCGGAAUUCCCGGAGUAGUGGUGAAAUGCGUAGAUACCGGGAGGAACACCAGAAGCGAAGGCGGCUUUCUGGGCUAUUCUUGACGCUGAGGCGCGAAAGCGUGGGGAGCGAACCGGAUUAGAUACCCGGGUAGUCCACGCCCUAAACGAUGGAUACUAGAUGUUGGAGGUAUAGACCCCUUCAGUGUCGAAGUUAACGCGAUAAGUAUCCCGCCUGGGGAGUACGGCCGCAAGGCUAAAAC
rnacentral:rRNA from 1 species